GAUGAACGCUGGCGGCGUGCCUAACACAUGCAAGUCGAACGGAGUUAUCUAGGAAAAUCCUUCGGGAUUGGAAUUCUUAACUUAGUGGCGGACGGGUGAGUAACGCGUGAGCAAUCUGCCUUUCAGAGGGGGAUAACAGUCGGAAACGACUGCUAAUACCGCAUAAUGCAUCGGGAUCGCAUGAUUUUAAUGCCCAAAGAUUUUAUCGCUGAAAGAUGAGCUCGCGUCUGAUUAGCUAGUUGGUGAGGUAACGGCCCACCAAGGCGACGAUCAGUAGCCGGACUGAGAGGUUGAACGGCCACAUUGGGACUGAGACACGGCCCAGACUCCUACGGGAGGCAGCAGUGGGGAAUAUUGCGCAAUGGGGGCAACCCUGACGCAGCAACGCCGCGUGAUUGAUGAAGGUCUUCGGAUUGUAAAAAUCUUUAAUCAGGGACGAAACAAAUGACGGUACCUGAAGAAUAAGCUCCGGCUAACUACGUGCCAGCAGCCG
rnacentral:rRNA from 1 species